GCAGUCGAGCGGAAAGGCCCUUCGGGGUACUCGAGCGGCGAACGGGUGAGUAACACGUGAGCAACCUGCCCUAGGCUUUGGGAUAACCCUCGGAAACGGGGGCUAAUACCGGAUAUUCACUUGCGGACGCAUGUUUGUGGGUGGAAAGUUUUUCGGCUUGGGAUGGGCUCGCGGCCUAUCAGCUUGUUGGUGGGGUGAUGGCCUACCAAGGCGACGACGGGUAGCCGGCCUGAGAGGGCGACCGGCCACACUGGGACUGAGACACGGCCCAGACUCCUACGGGAGGCAGCAGUGGGGAAUAUUGCACAAUGGGCGGAAGCCUGAUGCAGCGACGCCGCGUGAGGGAUGACGGCCUUCGGGUUGUAAACCUCUUUCAGCAGGGACGAAGCGCAAGUGACGGUACCUGCAGAAGAAGCGCCGGCCAACUACGUGCCAGCAGCCGCGGUAAGACGUAGGGCGCGAGCGUUGUCCGGAUUUAUUGGGCGUAAAGAGCUCGUAGGCGGCUUGUCGCGUCGACUGUGAAAACCCACGGCUCAACUGUGGGCUUGCAGUCGAUACGGGCAGGCUAGAGUUCGGUAGGGGAGACUGGAAUUCCUGGUGUAGCGGUGAAAUGCGCAGAUAUCAGGAGGAACACCGGUGGCGAAGGCGGGUCUCUGGGCCGAUACUGACGCUGAGGAGCGAAAGCGUGGGGAGCGAACAGGAUUAGAUACCCUGGUAGUCCACGCUGUAAACGUUGGGCGCUAGGUGUGGGGGGCCUCUCCGGUUCUCUGUGCCGCAGCUAACGCAUUAAGCGCCCCGCC
rnacentral:rRNA from 1 species